CACACACACAUAGCGGACAUGGCUGCGUCCACUCCCGGUAGAAGCGGCCCCCGGGCUCCCCCCCUUCUGUCCCCGGUCAGCCCCUCUCGCAUGUCCCGGCUGCAGGAGAAGGAUGAAUUGCGGCACCUGAAUGACCGGCUGGCCAAUUACAUUGAGCGGGUCCGGUCUCUGGAGGCGGACAAGUCUGUGCUGAGGUUACAGUUGGAGGAGAGGGAGGAGGUGACCUCCCGGGAGGUGACGAAUCUCAGGCAGCUCUAUGAGACCGAACUGGCCGAUGCCCGCAAACUGCUGGACCUCACCGCCAACGAGAAGGCCCGACUGCAGGUGGAGCUGGGGAAGAUCCGGGAGGAGCACCGACAGUUACAGGCCAGAAAUUCAAAGAAAGAAUCCGAUUUAAAUCUUGCUCAGAACCAGCUGAGAGAUGCAGAAGCUAACCUGAAUUCAAGAGAAGCGGAGCUUGCCACUGCUCGGAGUAACAAAAGAGGUCUGGAAGAGCAACUCGCAGACCUGAAGGGACAGAUAUCUGAGCUUGAAUCUUCAUUGAGGGACACAACAAAACAGCUGCACGAUGAAAUGCUAUGCAGAGUGGACCUGGAGAAUAAAAUGCAAACCCUCAAGGAGCAAUUGGAUUUUGAAAAAAAUGUACACGGUCAGGAGCUACAUGAGAUGAAGUCGCGGCAUGAUACCAGGAUUGUAGAAAUAGAUUCUGGUCGACGGACAGAAUUUGAGAGCAAGUUGGCUGAGGCCCUUCAAGAGCUCAGACAAGACCAUGAGCAGCAGAUCAAGGAGUACAAGGACCAGCUGGAGAAAACAUUCUGUGCCAAGUUGGAGAACGCACAGCUUGCAGCUGCCAAGAACAGCGAUUAUGCCAGUGCAUCCAGGGAAGAGAUCAUGUCUACAAAAAUCAGAAUAGAUACUUUGGCCUCACAACUAAACCAAUAUCAAAAACAGAACUCUGCACUGGAAAACAAAGUGAGAGACCUGCAACAGAUGCUGGACCAUACACAUGAUUCCCAUCGGAGGCAGAUGAAUGAAAAGGACAGGGAAGUGUCCGAGAUGAGGCAAAAACUGCAAGAACAGUUGGAAGAAUAUGAACAAUUGUUGGAUGUGAAGCUUGCAUUAGAUAUGGAAAUAAAUGCCUACAGGAAAAUGCUGGAAGGAGAAGAACAAAGGCUGAAACUGUCACCAAGUCCUGCACAGAGGAGCUCAGUCUCCCGAACCAGCUCAAGACACUCAAGCCGUUUACCACGAUCAAAGAAGAGGAAAUUGGAUGAGAGUGAGAGCACAUCGAGUAGUACCAUGUAUAAGAUCGUUCGGAAUGCCAACAGUUCAGGACCCGUAUCUAUAGAAGAUGUAGACCCUGAGGGGAACUAUGUGAGACUUUGGAACGAUUCAGAUGAGGAUCGACCACUAAGUGGAUGGACAGUUAUAAGACAGCAUAGAAGUCUUCCUGAGAUAAGUUAUAAAUUUACAGGGCGAUUCAUCCUUAGAGCUGGCCAGCGUGUUACAAUAUGGGCUGCUGAUGCUGGAACUUUACACAAUCCUCCCACUGACCUGGUCUGGAAAUCCCAAAUAUCCUGGGGAACCGAGGAUGAUGUCAAACUAACUCUCAUAGAUUCUACCAGAGAGGAGUGUGCUGAAUUUACGCUCAUUAGGGUACAGAGAGAGGAAGGAGAGACGGAUGAUGAACUUUUGGAAGAAGAGUUAUCAGAGUUUCGUGUCAGGCCAAAACGAAAGAAAAAGAAAUGUUGCUUAAUGUCAUGAUGGCAGUGUCUGCAGAGUUGAUGGGAUGACCAGUUCACCUGUUGAAAACUGAAGGUGCCUAAGACCCACCAGACUGUGGAUCCCAGCUGUUCUGUUAUGUAAUCCAGCCACUGAAGUGUAAAUUCAAGAAGACUGCUCCCAAGUCCAAGUGGAGAAGUUCGAUUUUUUUUUUUUUUCCUUGUUUGUAUUUGGCCAGAUGCCCGUUGUUGUUAUGCUACUCAUAGAUUUGUCACCACAUUUUGGAGUAUGGUCUAGAAGAGCAUUUCUUAUUUAGUCUACAGAUGAAGGACUCUGCACAGUUCCGCAUAGGUUUUGAAGUUGCACUGAUUUGACUUGGGAGAUGUGUGUUGUGUUUUUUGUCCCUCUUUUUUGCUGCACAUAAUAUCUUGAGGGGAAAUAAACUUUAUAGAACUGUAUAUUAGUUACUUUUUUUAUAUUUUCUUUUUCUUUUUCUAUUUAUAGUUGUAAAAUAAAAGUUAAUGUUUCUCAAGCCAGAGAAAAUUGAUGGCCUUGCUUUGCACUGAAAUGAUUGAUUUUAAAGCUAGUAAACGAAUAAAUACAGGGUAUUGUACUAUA